UUUAAUUUCUCGUGUUAGCUGGCUAGCCUGGCUGCCCCCGGUAGGGGUAUUGACAUGAUUUUUCUUUAUGUGAAGGUGUUUUUGCGCAAGGUACCCAGUUCGUCUCAAAUCGUGAUUUCGUGGACAAACCCUAGAAAAAGUGUUCCCGGCGGCGUGCGGGGGAGAAGGAGGUCGUGCCGACUAGAAAUGGGGAAGAGGCGCAGCCCGGCCGUCGCGUCGAGGCCCCCGGCGAGGAGCCAACCGAAGAGGGGGACGAGGAGUCGCGCGGCCGUGGCGUCCAUCCACCGAUGGAUACGCGCUGGAGGGGACGGCCGGGUAGGGAGACGAGUCGGCGCCCGGCCGUGGACUGAGAGGAGUGAGACGGGGAUGUGGCGCGGCCGUGGUGUCCAGGUGCCGCGUCCCAGCAACGGCGAUGUGGCGCGGCCGUGGCAUCGAGCCGUCGGGUCCCUGGGGCGGCAAUGGGGCGCGGCCGUGGCGUGCAGCCGUCGGCUCCCUGCGACGGCGAUGUGGCGCGGAUGUGGCGUCCAGCCGUCGGCUCCGUGCGGCGGCGAUGUGGGGCAAAGUUACGAGCGACGGUCGCGUCCAGCCGUUGGCUCCCUGGACGGAUGCGCUCCGAGGGUUGUGGCAUAGGUAGGAGCUGCUGUGGAAGCAAGGUGGUCAGCUCCCUUGACGGUUGAACGGGACCUGCAUCAGUACGAGCAUCGAGAAGUUCAGCAUGAUUUUGUCGAAUAUGUCAAAGAAGGGAUCCAUCCCGCGGUUUAGUCAUCCUGCAUCACCAACCCUAGAUGGUUGUGAGCUGCCAGAGCUUCAGUGUGCUUGCAAAAAAACGGCAGUGCGACGCAUGUACGACGUCAGUGCUUCCUAACAUGCAAUGUGCCCGAGGGUUCUAGUUUAUCAAUGCGGGACGACCUUCUGAACAACUAUGCCGACCAGACGCUAAACUACUGCACUGCAGCUUCAAACAGUACUCUGCAUGAUUCAUUGGAUUCAACAUCAAACCUUGUGAAGGAGAAGGAACUUGACUUUGUCUGUUCACAACUGUAUAAUUAUAAGGAGAAGGACAAAGCUCAUAACAGAGCACAUGCCAGCAGACACCAAGAUGAGAUGCAAAUCUAGGAAAUAUUGUAAACUUUUCUGGUUCAUGCUUAUAUUGUAUAUGGCCAGAGUAAUGAUUCCCACCGUGUAGAAUAACCAUCAUCAAUGGAUAAUCUAAAGUGUAAUCUCGAUCCUUCCGUCUAUAUGUAAAUUCAGCACAACGCAAAUAA